rnacentral:lncRNA from 1 species
GGGAAGCUUUAAAAUAUGCAGAAAGAGAGAGCAAGUAUCCAAGUCUAAUAGAUGCAUAUAGGAAAGAUAUGUUUCUUAAAAAAAAACAAAAACUAAAACUUACAUCAUAGCAGUGAUACACAUUGUGGUUUUGGGGAGAAAGGAAUUUAAAAAUUCAAUUUGUGUUUAUUUCUUCUAAAUCUAUAAUUCCAUCAAGAAUUAUAGACAAAAGAAGUAGAAAAGUCAUUUAUAUACUUAACUACUGUAGCAACACAUUUACAUAGGCUCCCUCUAAGACUGCAAUGUUUUAUUACGUUGACUUUUAGACUCAUAAACUUCCAAAGGUAAUACCCCUUAUAACACUUAUCUUUUUCCAAAACAACCACUGGCCUUUCAUUACAUAGAAAGCUUAAUUGUCAAAGUCACAAUUAAAU